rnacentral:rRNA from 2 species
CAACUAUCAAUGGCGGAUCACUUGGCUCUUGCAUCGAUGAAGAACGCAGCGAAUUGCGAAAAGUGUCGUGAAUUGCACCCGCGUGAAUCAUUGAAUCUUUGAACGCAUAUUGCGCCUUGUCUUUUGGCAGGGCAUGUCUGUUUGAGCACCAGCU